UCUAAAUCAAAUUUCAGAUCCCAAUCGUCUCGUUUCCACUUCGUAUCUCCCUCACCUCUGAACUAUCUCUAUCUAUCUCCUCCUGACUCCGCUACUCUCUCCAUCGGUCCUCGAAGUAAUCUUGCUCGGCUUUGGUGGCGAGUUCUAUUUUAGACAAGCUUUUUAAAUCCAAGGUGAAGAACUUGAGGUGGCUGCUGGCUUGUCCAGUAUAAGAUGCGUCUCAUUCAAACUCUUAACUUGUUCAUUCCACUCUAUAUCUUUUAUUCCCUUAUCAGUGGUCGAAUUUGCAAUUGUGAAAAUACGGUUGACAACAAAAUUCUGAAAGUUGGGGAGGAACUAUGGAGGGAAACACUGUCUCUUCAAUCGGGUUCUCGCCUUUAUCAGUUACAAGGACUUAAAUCUUAUACGUGGUACGAAGUAAAGAUAUCAUACCCAGCUUCUAUACCAGCCAGCUUUUCCUUAGAACUGAAGGACUCAGCAAACUUGGCACUACACACAAAUAGAAGAUUGCUUAACACGGAAAAGCUUAUUUUCAAGACCGAGAGUCUUGACUUGAGUAAAAAGGAUGGAAUGAAUAUCUUGGUGACCGUGGAACCUGAGGGGUUUGUUGCUAAACCGAAUGUUCCCGAGAGGGAGUUCAUCAUUUUCAACAUAGUUUGUGACGAGCUAUUGUUGGGGAUUCCACACAAAGCUUGGUGGGUUGCAGCCAUGGUGCUACUCUGUCUAUGUUUGGCAUUCUUCGUCCCAUCGUUCCUUCCACCCUAUUUGCUGCCAAACAAUCAAAGCCAUCUACCGUGUGAUCAGAAUGCUUCCAAGGAUUCCUGAGAUUUUGCCUCGAGGGUAAUCGUCGACAACCUUCAAUUUGUUUUUGCAUAAUAGAUUUGGAUGAGAUGAGUAGCUUGUUGAAAAAGGUUGGCAACUUGGUGAGGAACUAGAUGGGUGGCUAUAGGGAAGGUAGCCACUUAUUUUUGACAAUUGGGCUUAGGGAGCUAGGAAAUGGACAAGGCUCUACAACGGUGAAAAAUCAGCUCAGCAACCACUUAUCUCCUUGUGGAUUUGUUCUAUUAUUUUGAAAAUUGUGUGUAUACCAUCAUAUAGUCUUGUUUGCAUUUGCAUUCGAAGUAGAAAUUACAAUGUGAGACAGAUUCGACACUUGAUAAUUAUUAUCUCUUUGGUUAAUCAUACAUACUAGAAAAAAGUUUUUAAUUGAUGAAA